rnacentral:lncRNA from 1 species
GAUUGGGCUGUAGUACAUUUCACUUAACACUAAACAAGUAUUUAUAGAGUACCGGCUGUGUCGUGGCAGUGCUAAAAGCAUCGUGAGUGCGAGGGAUAAAAAUAAUUAAAGCACAGAUUAGAGACAUAAACAAAUGCUUAGAAUACAAGAGGAGGUGCGAUAAGAGCCAGGGCAGAGGGGGACACAAAUGCCCCAGGAAGCGAGAACAGAGCACGGGGCACAGGAGCACAGGGCGGCCAAAGAGGCCCCACAAAGAGCCCUGAUGUGGGCACCAACCAGGGCCAAGGCCACAAAGGCGCAGCAGGGAGGCGCAGCAGGGAGACUGGCAGGGUGUGAGCGGAACUGCCACACGCGUCAGCCUCCAGAGCCGGAGUCGCUGCACCGCUCAAAGGGGCCCCUGGAAAGGACCUGGUCUUCAAGAUGCACCCACCCCCGGAUCCAGAUCCCCGGAACCACAAGCUGCUGGGAGACCUGUGACCCCCUAGAAUCCCAACAUCAGAGUUUGGAAGGAUCCUCAAGGGCCAGCAAACACCUGUUCUACGUGGAGAUCAACACACACAGGACCCAAGAGGAGAGGGCGCGCCCAGCGGGCCGGCCAUCGGACUCCCGUUCCCUUGCCACACUCACGCAGCUCGGCACUUCCUCUUCACAACAGACAUUUGGAGCAUCUGCUAGGCGCCUGCCAAGCCUGAAUCAUGGAACCAUUGGAUUUCAUGGGUGGAAACAUCUUAGAGUUCCUGGCUCAGGGAGCAAGCUCUGUCCUCUGGACAACUGACCCUCUGGUCAAGGUGCCCCAGCUUCACUCCCCUUCCCCGACUCCUCUCUGUCCCCCGCACGACCCAGACAAGCCCAGCCCGGCCCCCAGCCCAUGUUUUUGCUGUUUCUUUGCUCCUGUGCAGUUGUCCAGACCAGCCUAGGACGUCCCCAACCAGGACAGGUGUGACGAGACCUCUGGUCCAGCAUGGGCACGGUAGCUGCAGCCUUGGAGUCUCUGUAGGCCUUUAUGUAAGAAAAGGCUGGGAGAAUGCUCCCAGCUUCAGGAAACUACAUAUUGUGCAUUAAAGAAGAGGGGACUUGGGGCUGACACCGUAGUGUAGCAGGUAAAGCUGCCGCCUGCAGUGCUGGCAUCCCAUGUGGGCACUGGUUCGACUCCCAGCUGCUCCACUUCCAAUCCAGCUCUCUGCUGUGGCCUGGGAAAGCAGUAGAAGAUGGCCCAAGUCCUUGAGCCCCUGCACCCACAUGGGAGACCUGGAGGAAGCUCCUGGCUCCUGGCUCCUGGCUCCUGGCUUCGGAUUGGCACAGCUCCAGCUGCUGCGGCCAACUGGGGAGUGAACCAGUGGAUGGAAGACCUCUCUUCUCUCUGCCUCUCCUUCUCUCUCUGUCUAACUCUGACUUUCAAGUAAAUAAAUGAAUCUUAAAGAAGAAGAAGAUACCUUGG